rnacentral:misc_RNA from 1 species
GCACCAUGGAAGAAAGCAAUCGCAAACAGAAUCAAAGCCAAAGGUCUUCUUCAAUGGUAUUCUCAAAUGUGAUGGAAGCAAUGCUGCGAUGAGAAUGGCUUCAAGUGUCUCUGUAUGCGUGAGAGCCAACAAUGUUUGGUAGGUGUGAAUGCUGAUGGAAAAAAUAAUAAAGGGGAAGGGAUUGAAGAUCAAAGUGUUGUUGAAGAAGAUGAUGGUAGCUGCUAGUUCGAGCUUGAUGACGAAGAUGGAAAUGACUGUCGUAUUUUGACUUUGGGGAGUUGGGUUUCGCAAUGAAAUUCAACUUGAAUAAUUGAUGGAGAUCAGGACUUCUAGUGCUUAUUGGUUUUGGGAUGAAACUAAGUAGAAUUUGUUUAAAUUUAUUUGAAUUUGUUUGAUUUCAUAUGAGUUUGAAUUCUAAUUUUAGACUAUCUUUUUUAUAGUGUGUUUGUUGAUUGAUAU